rnacentral:rRNA from 1 species
CAGCAGCCACGGUAAUACGUAGGUGGCAAGCGUUGUCCGGAAUUAUUGGGCGUAAAGGGCUCGCAGGCGGUUUCUUAAGUCUGAUGUGAAAGCCCCCGGCUCAACCGGGGAGGGUCAUUGGAAACUGGGAAACUUGAGUGCAGAAGAGGAGAGUGGAAUUCCACGCGUAGCGGUGAAAUGCGUAGAGAUGUGGAGGAACACCAGUGGCGAAGGCGACUCUCUGGUCUGUAACUGACGCUGAGGAGCGAAAGCGUGGGGAGCGAACAGGAUUAGAUACCCCUGUAGUCCCUGUCUCUUAUAC